rnacentral:lncRNA from 1 species
UUUCUAUUCAUCCCCACCUUCUACAGAUCCCAUCUGCGAACCCACCACACCUUCCACAGAUCUCAGCCCUCUGUCGCUGGCCACGUGAUGAGGAGCUCCACGGUUCUCAUGGCGGCGGCGCUGCUGCUUCUGCUGGUGUCGUUGUUGGCGGCGGCGGAAAGGAGCGAGGAGGAGCCGCAAUUACGGGAAGAAGCAGGACUCUAUCGGCGGGGAGGAGCGCCAUCACGAGACGUUCAAGGACAAGCUGCGAUCCACCCCCGACAGUUUUAUAGGACUGGACUCCUUCCACUAGACGGCGAUGACGACUGGACGAAGAAGAACAAGGGAGCGUGGGUUGCUUACAUGCUGUUUGUAUGUACAGUUUUCACUGUUUUCUUCACAUGUUGUAGAUUGCAUACAUAGUCCUGCCAUUUGGAUCAAGUAUAUUUCUCUUCAGGUAAUCCCCCGAUUCACUUGCAGACUUUUAUUGGUCAACUGCAAUAUCUUCACCAUCCAUAUCGAAAUGAAGCAGAGCAUGUUUAUCUUCUGUAAUAAGGUCAUUUACUCAUUUUCGGUAUAUUCUUCCACUUUCCAGUGCACUGCACAUACACAUAUAUAUACAAAGUACCAUAUGUGUAUGCCAUCAUAUGGGUAUGGUGGCUGUCCGGAAGGGAACAACUGUAGAUUCCGUUUUAUCUAUCUAGAUAAAUAAAGUGUAGAGAGAUUACUGUAUGGGAACCCAGAAGAGUACACAUUCAAUUAAUUCAUGCUUCUGUGAUUGUAGUACAGUACCGCAUGGAAGAGAACGAAAAGAGUUGGUUUUAAGAUUGACGAGUGUUGUACAAAAUUCAUACUUUUCAAGCAGGUUCAUCAAACAUGGACAUUAAGUUUCUCCGCAGCACAACACAAAUAAGCUUAGCUGAAGAUAAAAAGGAAUAAAAUUAUAUAGUGUAUCAUGUUAAUUUAUCAUAAAGAGCUAAAUACACCUAACUGUAUUGUCGCAAAAAAAAAAAUACACCUAACUGUACACUAACUUGCAUCGCGUGAACAAUUUCGUAUAACAACUUGAAAAUUGAGACAAAUGGGUCACUUAACUUGCUUAGCAGGAACAAUUUCAUACAAAUUAAUUGGAAACGGCCGCGUGGGCAGGGGACUGCAUCGCCUCGCCUG